rnacentral:rRNA from 1 species
GACGAACGCUGGCGGCGUGCUUAACACAUGCAAGUCGAACGGUGAAGGGACUGGUUUUGCUGGUCCUGGAUGAGUGGCGAACGGGUGAGUAACACGUGAGUAACCUGCCCCCUUCUUCUGGAUAACCGCAUGAAAGUGUGGCUAAUACGGGAUAUUCUGGGUCUGUCGCAUGGUGGGCCUGGGAAAGAUUGCGCCUUUUUUGGUGUUUUUGGUGGGGGAUGGGCUCGCGGCCUAUCAGCUUGUUGGUGGGGUGAUGGCCUACCAAGGCGGUGACGGGUAGCCGGCCUGAGAGGGUGGACGGUCACCCUGGGACUGAGACACGGCCCAGACUCCUACGGGAGGCAGCAGUGGGGAAUAUUGCACGAUGGGCGCAAGCCUGAUGCAGCGACGCCGCGUGAGGGAUGGAGGCCUUCGGGUUGUGAACCUCUUUCGCCAGUGAAGCAGGCCUGCCUCUUUUUGUGGGUGGGUUGACGGUAGCUGGAUAAGAAGCGCCGGCUAACUACGUG